AACGAACGCUGGCGGCAUGCCUAACACAUGCAAGUCGAACGAGACCUUCGGGUCUAGUGGCGCACGGGUGCGUAACGCGUGGGAACCUGCCCUUAGGUUCGGAAUAACUCCCCGAAAGGGGUGCUAAUACCGGAUAAUGUCUUCGGACCAAAGAUUUAUCGCCUUUGGAUGGGCCCGCGUUGGAUUAGCUAGUUGGUAGGGUAAAAGCCUACCAAGGCGACGAUCCAUAGCUGGUCUGAGAGGAUGAUCAGCCACACUGGGACUGAGACACGGCCCAGACUCGUAAGGGAGGCAGGAGUGGGGAAGAUUGGACAAUGGGCGAAAGACUGAUCCAGCAAUGCCGCGUGAGUGAGGAAGGCGUUAGGGUUGUAAAGCUCUUUUACCAGGGAUGAUAAUGACAGUACAGGGAGAAUAAGCUCCGGCUAAAUCAGUG
rnacentral:rRNA from 1 species